UCCUCCUCCCCCUCUUCUCCCUAUACAUGGAACAUGGAUGACACCUCAGGGGACCCAGCAUACACCUGGCCACCUAUCGCUACAAGACAAUCUCUCUCUCUCUCUCUCUCUCUCUCUCUCUCUCUCUCUCUCUCUCUCUCUCUCUCUCUCUCUCUCUCUCUCUCUCUCUCUCUCUCUCUCUCUCUCUCUCUCUCUCUCUCUCUCUCUCUCUCCUUUAUUUUCAAUCUAUAUUCCCCACUAUUCCUUAAUUUGUGUACUUGUUUCUAAAUACACAUCCAAUAUACUAUUUUUUCUACCUUUUAAUUUCUCUCAUCUGCUACUGUGCCUCCUCCCUCUGUCCCAUAACUCAUGGUCUCCUGGCAAGUGUCUGUGUUUGGGUGUAAGUGUGGCACAGACCAACACAAAUAAGGCAGGUCAGGAGAAGGGAAUCAGAGGAGGUGGAAUGAAUUUCAUGUCUGUAAUCUCUCAACCAAUGAAAGCCACUCUUGAGAAUGGGAUUGAACUAUAUAUACUCUCAAUCUUUCAACUCUUAAUAAAUUCUUUUUAGAGGGAGGUUUCAAGACAUACUUUGUUAUCUUGGAUUUGCUUUUUGGACAAUACUCUGUAAGGACUGCUACCUUCAGUGGGCCCUUUUUUCUCUUAUUCCUCUAACCCACAUUUUUAUUGCCCUUGGCCAUAGCACCUCUUAAAAAUAAUCAAGAAAAAUAGGAUGGUGAGAUUCCCAGCCUUCACUCCCCCCAAUAAGUGGUGCUAUAAUUCCUUGAUUUACACUGUUCCUUUGUACCUACUUCAUGCUAGACCUAGAUGAAUAGUGGCUACAGUGUAAAGGAAAACAAACCAUUUUUGUUUCCACUCAGCCCAGAAUUCAAAUUCAGGCCCUCUCAGUUAUAAACCAAGCACAUAUGCCAUUAUACAAACCAGAGAAACCAGAGAGGAGGAUGGCAAUGUAGGUACCUCAAUGAUAUCACCAUAUGCCAAAUGUGAAAGGCUGAACAUGCAUCUCUCAUGCACAGACUCAAAUACCUCAUCAAAAGAUAUUUCUCGAAAAACUCUCUCUCAAAUCCAUGUAUUAGGCAGGACCACUGUUACCACCGAGCAGAUGAAAUAAGUUGUUGUUGAGCAAGAGUAUGCUAAACAACAUGAUCUGUGUUAUGAGAGUUAAAGUGAACUAGUAUAUAAAGCAUGGGUAACACUAAGGAAACUAAUUUAAACAGAGUAGAGAUUAAGGAAACUGAAUUCAUUAUAGUAGUUAACUGCAGUAGUGAAGAUGUGUGAGAGGAACUAGCUGUGGAGAGCUUAGCUGCUGAGAGGUAGUGAGGGUCAUGUUUACGUGGUAAAGUUGAUGACAUGGUACGUAGGGAUCUCCGUAAAGGAAUGAGUCACCCGGGAACUAUUGCUGACCUAAUGGUAAGAUGGGCAGGCAUGAGGCGCCAAGGGCCAGCAGGAACAAAGCCCGGAGGGACAGAUCCCUUUGUUCCACCACCAAGUUAGGGUGUGACUACUCCAGGAAAGAUCAGAGCACUACAAUACAGAUGCAGGCUGGCUCCAUGCUGUGAACAACAGACACUAACAAGAUUGCUUGCCAACAGGAAAAUGCAAAGCCAGCCAAAGCUGCGUUCAGAGCUUGUGAUCUAGUUCCAUUUAAUCCAAAAAAGGUUUUGGCCAAAGUUGACAGGACCUCACCAGAGGCAAGUAGCACUCUACAUGUUAGCAACUUUGUUCUACAGAAGAUCCAAACCCUGCAUAAAGCUGCACUAACCUCAAGAGGAAGAGGUGUUAGAAGCAAGAUGGUCAUGGUGCAACCUGGUGUAAGUGUUACUGAAACUGAUAUGGAACCCUCAACAAGCACACAACAAACACCUGCCACUAGUGUCAGACAGGGAACUGGCAAGAAAGCAGUAACAAGCAGGAAACCACUGUACACAGAGUCUGACAUGGAUACAAGUGAAGAUGAUUCCAAUGAGGUUAGUAUCAGAAAUGCAGAAGACAUGGAAAUGCAAGACAAUGCAAAAAAUGUGAAAGAAGAGGAAAGUGAAAAAAAAAAAAAAAGAUAUUGGAGUGUUAGAAGACGAGCUGAAACUAGAACCAAAUAUUAAAGUGAAGGAUGGACUUAGCAGUGAGCCAAUUUUGAAUGAAAAUGACUAUAUUGUUGUGAAAUUCAAGGGGAAAAAGUACAAAGUUAAUAAGUUACUGGGACUGUUGGAACCCAAAAAAAAAAAAAAAAAAAGCUGGCAAAUCAAGUACUUUAGGAAGGUUAUAAGUUUGGGUAAAAUGUGUUCAAUUUCUUUCUAGGAAUCAGAUGCAGUGUGUGGCACUGCUGUCUUAAGAAAACCCAAAAGACUCAAGGGCAAGCUUGUGUUCAAGAAAAAGUUUGAUGGCCAGAUUAUGCAUUAAGAAAAGGGGAUCCUUUGCUAUAAGGAAUGAUACAUUGGAUAAGUUUAUUUCACUUUUGCAGGGAUAAACCAUAUUUAUUUUACUUUUGCAAGAUAAACUACAUUUGAAGUCACUGUAUGGAUAGUCAGUUUUGAGGUGAUUUUGCACUAAUUUCAAUUUCAGUGUGGGGAAAUUCAGAUUGCCCAUUAGGUUACAUAUGUAUGCCAUGAUUUACUGAGUUUAGUCUUUGCCACUACCUAGUAAGCCACAGCACCUAUGGUAAUGUAUUUUGCCAUAAUAAAAAUUUGGUUUCAU